CUCCCCCUCCAUUUCUCUCGCUCUCUCUGAGCUUAUGACAAUUUGGGUUGGAAGUAUCGUUCCAAGAUCCAUCACCCAUGCUCAUGAAGGAUUGCUAUCUUGUAUCUAUUCUGAGCGAGAUGUCUGUAAACACGGCGAUGGACAUGUGAGGCAAUUGCUUUGCAUAUGCAAUUCUUGGUUUAACGGCCAUCACCAUUACUUGUCAAAUUGAUCAGAUAUAGAGCCCAUAGCUUGGCCAUUCUCGUAUCUACGUUUCACCAUGGGAAGCAACCUUCUGCCAUUGAUCAAGGCAUUUGGUCUAGUGGUAUGAUCUUAGGGUGCGAGGAAUCCCGAGUUUAAUUCUCGAAAUGCCUCGCAUUGCCCUUAUGGCUCAGUGGUAGAGCAUCAGUCUUGUAAACUGAAGGUCCGCAGUUCAAUCCCGCAACACUUUGUAGAGUGUUUGUUAGUUCCUAAGAUUUCAGCAGGAGCUGAGAUAUUGUCUGCGAAGAGUAGGGUCCAAUGGGGUGUGGAUGUUCUUACCUAAUAAAUGGUAAAGAUAGAGUCAAGCGAACGCUCAGGAAGUUAAACUAAAAUCUAGGUAGUGGAAUGUAAUUAGCUUGAUGUUUGUAGUUGAUAAGUUUUUUUGUGGUUAACUAAUCCCUUCACAAUGGGACUAUCGUGAAAGAUGGUUUUUCUUUUAUUCACCA